UACACAAAAAUGCACAAGUUGUGAGUUCGAUGAGUAGGGCGGGACACGUGACAUCCUGUCUGAAUAUGGGGGGACCAUCCUCCAAGGCUAAAUACUCCUGACUGACCGAUAGUGAACCAGUACCGUGAGGGAAAGGCGAAAAGAACCCCGGCGAGGGGAGUGAAAUAGAACCUGAAACCGUGUACGUACAAGCAGUGGGAGCCUACUUGUUAGGUGACUGCGUACCUUUUGUAUAAUGGGUCAGCGACUUAUAUUCUGUAGCAAGGUUAACCGUAUAGGGGAGCCGCAGGGAAACCGAGUCUUAACUGGGCGUUAAGUUGCAGGGUAUAGACCCGAAACCCGGUGAUCUAGCCAUGGGCAGGUUGAAGGUUGGGUAACACUAACUGGAGGACCGAACCGACUAAUGUUGAAAAAUUAGCGGAUGACUUGUGGCUGGGGGUGAAAGGCCAAUCAAACCGGGAGAUAGCUGGUUCUCCCCGAAAGCUAUUUAGGUAGCGCCUCGUGAAUUCAUCUUCGGGGGUAGAGCACUGUUUCGGCUAGGGGGUCAUCCCGACUUACCAACCCGAUGCAAACUACGAAUACCGAAGAAUGUUAUCACGGGAGACACACGGCGGGUGCUAACGUUCGUCGUGAAGAGGGAAACAACCCAGACCGCCAGCUAAGGUCCCAAAGUCAUGGUUAAGUGGGAAACGAUGUGGGAAGGCAUAGACAGCCAGGAUGUUGGCUUAGAAGCAGCCAUCAUUUAAAGAAAGCGUAAUAGCUCACUGGUCGAGUCGGCCUGCGCGGAAGAUGUAACGGGGCUAAACCAUGCACCGAAGCUGCGGCAGCGACACGUAGUGUUGUUGGGUAGGGGAGCGUUCUGUAAGCCUGCGAAGGUGGCCUGUGAGGGCUGCUGGAGGUAUCAGAAGUGCGAAUGCUGACAUAAGUAACGAUAAUGCGGGUGAAAAACCCGCACGCCGGAAGACCAAGGGUUCCUGUCCAACGUUAAUCGGGGCAGGGUGAGUCGACCCCUAAGGCGAGGCUGAAAAGCGUAGUCGAUGGGAAACAGGUUAAUAUUCCUGUACUCGGUGUUACUGCGAAGGGGGGACGGAGAAAGCUAGGUUAUCCGGGCGACGGUUGUCCCGGUUUAAGCGUGAAGGUGGGUGGCUUUGGUAAAUCCGGGUCAUCGUUAACACUGAGGCGUGAUGACGAGUCACUACGGUGAUGAAGUAACCGAUGCUACGCUUCCAGGAAAAGCCUCUAAGCUCCAGGUAACAUCAAAUCGUACCCCAAACCGACACAGGUGGUCAGGUAGAGAAUACUCAGGCGCUUGAGAGAACUCGGGUGAAGGAACUAGGCAAAAUGGUGCCGUAACUUCGGGAGAAGGCACGCUGAUGGUAGGUGAAGUGACUUGCUCAUGGAGCUGAAAUCAGUCGAAGAUACCAGCUGGCUGCAACUGUUUAAUAAAAACACAGCACUGUGCAAACACGAAAGUGGACGUAUACGGUGUGACGCCUGCCCGGUGCCGGAAGGUUAAUUGAUGGGGUCAGCCGCAAGGCGAAGCUCUUGAUCGAAGCCCCGGUAAACGGCGGCCGUAACUAUAACGGUCCUAAGGUAGCGAAAUUCCUUGUCGGGUAAGUUCCGACCUGCACGAAUGGCGUAAUGAUGGCCAGGCUGUCUCCACCCGAGACUCAGUGAAAUUGAACUCGCUGUGAAGAUGCAGUGUACCCGCGGCAAGACGGAAAGACCCCGUGAACCUUUACUAUAGCUUGACACUGAACCUUGAGCCUUGAUGUGUAGGAUAGGUGGGAGGCUUUGAAGCGUGGACGCCAGUCUGCGUGGAGCCAACCUUGAAAUACCACCCUUUAAUGUUUGAUGUUCUAACGUGGACCCGUGAUCCGGGUUGCGGACAGUGUCUGGUGGGUAGUUUGACUGGGGCGGUCUCCUCCCAAAGCGUAACGGAGGAGCACGAAGGUUAGCUAAUCCUGGUCGGACAUCAGGAGGUUAGUGCAAAGGCAUAAGCUAGCUUGACUGCGAGAGUGACAGCUCGAGCAGGUGCGAAAGCAGGUCUUAGUGAUCCGGUGGUUCUGAAUGGAAGGGCCAUCGCUCAACGGAUAAAAGGUACUCCGGGGAUAACAGGCUGAUACCGCCCAAGAGUUCAUAUCGACGGCGGUGUUUGGCACCUCGAUGUCGGCUCAUCACAUCCUGGGGCUGAAGUAGGUCCCAAGGGUAUGGCUGUUCGCCAUUUAAAGUGGUACGCGAGCUGGGUUUAGAACGUCGUGAGACAGUUCGGUCCCUAUCUGCCGUGGGCGUUGGAAGAUUGAGAGGGGUUGCUCCUAGUACGAGAGGACCGGAGUGAACGCACCACUGGUGUACGGGUUGUGAUGCCAAUUGCAUUGCCCGGUAGCUAAGUGCGGAAGAGAUAACCGCUGAAAGCAUCUAAGCGGGAAACUUGCCUCGAGAUGAGUCUUCCCUGGGCACUAGAUGCCCCUGAAGGGCCGUUGAAGACGACGACGUAGAUAGGCUGGGUGUGUAAGCGUAGCGAUACGUUGAGCUAACCAGUACUAAUGACCCGAGAGGCUUAACCUUACAACACCGAAGGUGUUU
rnacentral:rRNA from 2 species